AGAGUUUGAUCAUGGCUCAGGACGAACGCUGGCGGCGUGCCUAAUACAUGCAAGUCGAGCGAGCGGAACUAACAGAUUUACUUCGGUAAUGACGUUAGGAAAGCGAGCGGCGGACGGGUGAGUAACACGUGGGUAACCUGCCCAAGAGACUGGGAUAACACCUGGAAACAGAUGCUAAUACCGG
rnacentral:rRNA from 1 species